UUCACCCCUAAUCGGGACGGCCAGAUGAGAGGCGCCCACCUCGACUCGUAACUCUCGAGUCUCUCUUGGGCGCGGGGCGCCAGUUUCCCAAGUCCCAACCUGUGACGAGCGCACUGGCACGCACAUCCUCCGCGCCUCCGUGGCUCCCAUUCCAAUUUGUGCUUCUUGUACGGUUUGCUCCGCCUACCUCCGCCUCGCCCCAAGUACUGCGCGGCGCGCCGUCUCCACCGGUCAGUCCCUCCCCUCCUCCUCCAAUGACGGGAUCCUCCUUCCUGCCGUCUUCCUGCUCCGUGGCACCAUGGCGAGACCGUCUUCCUGCUCGUGCUGCCACGGCCUCGCCACAGAUCAACAGGAUGCUUUGAAGGUUUGGGCAAUGUACAUCCUGUUCAUUGCCAUGCGAGGAUCGAGGAGUGAACAGUGAAGCGUGUUCCAAAAGUGAUGGCUGCUGACACAUAUGCCGCCUGCCCGGUAGCAAACCAUUGUCAACGUCCGCAACUCUUGCUUCACAAGUGCGCUCCCAAUUAAUAUGCUCAAGGGGCGAAAUGCUCAGUGGCCCAUGCAGAUUGUUCAGGUCUUUGAGUUCUGCCACUCCUGCUGUCAUUGGAGUGAAGUGCACAAUGAAAACAGGGAGUGUUUGCAGUUUAGUCAACUUUCCUAUGCCCUCAGGUAAACUUUUGAACUUGCAGACUGGUAUUGUAGAAUCAUUUCUUCCUAAGACAUUAUAAUCAAGAUGCCGCAAAUUUUGUAA